UACGAACUGUGCAAACGUUAUUCGGAAUCACUGGGCUUAAAGGGUGCGUAGGCGGCUUGUUAAGUAGGGUGUGAAAUCCCCGGCUCAACCGGGGAAUUGCGCCCUAAACUGGCGAGCUGGAGUGAGAUAGGGGUGUGUGGAACUUCCGGUGGAGCGGUGAAAUGUGUUGAUAUCGGAAGGAACGCCAGUGGCGAAAGCGACACACUGGGUCUCAACUGACGCUGAGGCACGAAAGCCAGGGGAGCAAACGGG
rnacentral:rRNA from 1 species